GUGUGCGCCAGGGAGCUUCUCCACAGUCCUUGGGACUCGGGCAAGUGGAGACUCAGGCCCUGGGGCCUGACUGCAAAAUCGGGGACCUAGAGCUCGACUUCCAUCCUGGCUCUGUGCUGGGUUCAGUCCUUUUUCAUGGAGAGAGGAGGCCCCAGGCUCAGAGCCUCCCACCCCCACUGGACAAGUUCAGCCAACAUUUCAUGCUGUCCCUCGGUCCCCACUGCAUUGACCUUAUAGGAUGCUAAUGGCAUCCAAUUUGGGCUUUGCCAUCACCGCAGUGAUUGUGAGCUUGCUUCUUAAAUGAAUGUAGUGACAGGUUUUUAAAAGGGAGAGCUGAGGUACAGCAGACUAUCCAGGAAAUACCAGUAGGAGUUGUAUGCAGCGGUGGGGAGCUUGGCUCCCUUCUGUUUCAGUUUCCGGUGGGGACAGAGCUCAUUUCCUGCCGGCCUCCUAUUCCCCUCACACAUUCCCAGGGGAGGGGCAGCAUCUGAACCCCUCAGAGCUGGGUUCGGAUACCUGCUUCCGCUCCCCAGCUGCGUGAUCCCGGCCAUGCCGCGUAACCUCCUUGUGCCUCAGUUGUCUCAUCUGUAAUAUGGGUCCCACAAGAGUACCUACUCCCUGGGCUACCGAGAGUGCAGAGUGUAUGACACGGACAGGCUCUCCUGCCUGGCACCCAGUGUGCUGUAAACAUUGUUCUCCUUUUCUCCCAAGUGCCAUAGGCCUCGGAAAGCCCCAUCUGCCUUGCCCUCCCACACCUUGGUCUAGAAGUCAUGACGUCAGACUCUCGGAGGGCCCCCUCUGAGGCACGCCCCGUGUCCGGGGACCCUAGGCUGGCUUGGCUUCUGCCAGGGAGCGGGCUCCUCACGUCUUCAACUCCCACAUCAGCCUCUGUGGCUGCUUCCUGUCUUUCUGCCUCAGCCAGGGAGGGGGAGGGGUUGUUGAUUCACAUCUCCCCGGCUCUCAGGUGUGGUUUCUCCCCUGGCAUGGGGCCUGGGUGUCGGGUGGGAGCGGUAACAGAGCAGCUGGGUGCUCACAGCAGAGGCCCAGAAAGCGUGGGAUGAGGAGCAGGUUCCAUUUUGGAGCUAAAUCCCCUCCCCGUGUCCUGGGAAGUGUAAGGCUUAUUAAGAGGGGAGAGAAGGGUGUGACCUAUGGGGUCCAAAGACAUGUUCCUUAUUUGCUUAUGGUGGCCGGCUCCUGGUUCCGGGAAUCUGUCCUGCCCUUGGUGCCCCGCUCUUAGUCUGCACUGGCUUCAUUUUUAGGCAGGUUCUUGCCUCCUGCAGUGGCCAGUACAUCCACCAAGAGCUCCAUGCUCCAUGCUCGCUACCUGCUAGAGCCACAACGGGAAAAGUUUCUGUUGCCCGAGAGUCCCAGUAGAAGUUCUGGGGCCGGUGCUCGGUUGCCUGGCUUGGCUCACAUGCAAAUCUCCGAACCCAGCCCAGGCUGUGGGCAGGAAUGAGGGUGCGGGUGCUGUGCUCUGAUUGGCCAGAGGCGAGCCACGUGCCCUCCUGGACCUGCAGGUGGGGUCAGCCCCACCUGAGCCAGAUGGCUGGAGAAUGAGGAAGGGUUGGCUCCUCAGAGGGAACUCCGGGAGGGAGAAACGGGGACAGGAGCGACUGAGACACACUCAGGUUCAGGACCUGGCCCCGAACUCCGGCCAAGGUGGGAGAAUUAACCAGCAUACCCAGGCCAUGGCUCCGUUGUCACAGACAUGCUCCAGGCUGCCCAGGGCCUCAGAAUUCUGGGUCCGGCUUCUCUCGUUGUGGGGCAGAGGCCAUUGGGACACUCCUCACCCAUCCCUCCGAACUCCAGGGACAGACCCGACCUGUAGAAUUCCCCUCACUGGUCAUUGGCCAGCACUGGUCACAUGCUCCUCGCUAACCAAUCACAGGCUAGGGAGUGGGAUGGCCACGAUUGGUCUCGACUAAUGAGGAUUAACUCGGGAGCGGGACCUGGAAGCUUACUUGUCCCGACCCUGUUGGCGUAGACGCUGGGUGCGUGUCCAGCCCUGCUUGCUGCCGCAUUACAGGCACCAGUUGUGGCUCAGACUCAAUGGGACCAAUCCUAUUUAUUUAUUUAUUUGUUUGUUUGUUUGUUUGUUUGUUUAUGGUAUAAUUGACAUACAAUAGUGUAUGCGUUUCAGGGGUACAACAGAGUGAUUUGACGUUUGUGCCUAUUGCAAAGUGAUCCCCACCAUGUGUCCAGUUACCUACCACCUGUCCCCCUAUGAAGUGAAUAGAAUAUUAGUAGCUGUGGUCCCCAUGCUGUAUAUUCCUUGGAUGGGAUCAGUUGGAAGGAGACGUCUUAGAAAUUGUCUGUGGGAUUGGAGGGAUAAAGCUACUCAGGGUCCUGGAUGAUUUCUGAACAAGGUUCUACAAAGGAAGUGGAGUUUUACCCUGGGCGUUGAAGGGUGUCCAAGAGCUUUCUAGAUCGGGAAGGGAGGGAAAGGUAGGCUGCAUGGAGGGAACCCCAUGAGCACAGGCGUGGAGGUACAAGGAUGCAGUGAUAUCCCGCGAGGAGUGUGGGGUGGGACAUGAAUGCUAUGUUCAUGGUCAUAAAGGUUCCCAUUUCCUGCGUGCCUGAGAUGUGCUAGGCUCGACCCAGAUCUCUGUCCACUGGAAAGCCUUGCAGGUGGGAGGCUACUGGUCUCUCUACUUUAGUGACAAGGAAACCGAGGCAUGGAGAGAUGGACCGACUCACCCAGUGUUGCUGGAAAUGGCAAAGCUGGGGUUGGAGGCCGGGAUUUGAACUCCAGAGCCUAUGCUGUUUGUCCUACCUUGGAUCUUUCUCUUAGGAGUGGCCUCCCAAACACCGGGCCUCUUGGCCAAAACAAAAGCCACAAGGAGUUUCUUGCAAGCUCCGAUUUCUCUUCCGUUUCUUAGUAAAAUAUUUCCCAAUCCCCUUCUCCUCUCCAGAGUAUACAAUUCCUUUGGAGAACUAGGGCCAGCUGUGACUUCCUGCUUACUCAUAUUUAGAAAGAGAAGAAGGCUGUGAGUGACUGUCCUCCUCUUCCUGCCCCCAUUUCCUCCUUCAACCCCCUUCCCAACCUCAGCUCCACUGGGAAGCUCUGCGACCUGUUGGGGCUCUGUGCAGUACCUCCCCUCAGCUCACUUUACACCAGACCAUUUCUCCAGGCAUGCAUCCAACCUGCACGCAGAAGCAGAGCUGGAAAGGGUUGGACCUAGUGGAGAGAGGAGCCCCAGGCAGAGGAUUUGGGGUACUCCCAUGCCAUCAGAAUCAAUACGGAACACAGAAGUUUGUUUGUUUGCUUUUUUAAAUAAAAGUAAUA